rnacentral:rRNA from 1 species
AGACGCGCUUUAAGUUUGACCCCCCGAAACCAGGCGAGCUACUUCUAAACAGCCACAAGCCAACCCUUCUCCGUCGCAAAGGAGUGGGAAGAUUUAAAAGUAGAGGCGACACACCUACCGAGCCUGGAGAUAGCUGGUUAUUUAGGAAAAGGAUCUAAGUCCACCUCUAAGUUUUUUUAGUGCACCCAGACAAAAAUAAACUUACAAGUCAUUCAAAUAAGGUACAGCCUACUUGAAUAAGGAAACAGCCUGCAACACAGGGUAAUGCCCACCCCCGUGAUCAGGUGGGCCUAAAAGCAGCCAGCCUUCAAAAAGCGUCCAAGCUUCAUCACUACAACAGAUAAUUAUAUUAUCAACCCACAACCCUCAACCACUACUAAAUAACCUCAUAUUCAUAUGAGAGAUAUUAUGCUAGAACUAGUAACAAGAAGAAGCACUUCUCCUAGAUAAAAGCUUAAGCCACAGUGAACCGUUCGCCGGCAAUUACCGCCACUAACCCAUAGUAGCAACACUACAAGAAAACCCUACUACACCAGGCGUCAACCUAACACCAGAUUAUCGCAGGAAAGAUUAAAAAGGGGGGAAGGAACUCGGCAAAUAACAGCUCCGCCUUAUA